rnacentral:rRNA from 1 species
ACGAACGCGUGGCGGCGUGCCUAAUACAUGCAAGUCGAACGGUCUUCUAUGGAAGCUUGCUCCACUGAGAAGAUAGUGGCGAACGGGUGAGUAACACGUGGGUAACCUGCCCAUAAGAGGGGGAUAACAUCCGGAAACGGGUGCUAAUACCGCAUAGUUUUCUUGAUCGCAUGAUUGAGAAAGGAAAGACGGCCUUUGUGCUGUCGCUUAUGGAUGGACCCGCGGCGUAUUAGUUAGUUGGUGAGGUAACGGCUCACCAAGACGAUGAUACGUAGCCGACCUGAGAGGGUGAUCGGCCACAUUGGGACUGAGACACGGCCCAAACUCCUACGGGAGGCAGCAGUAGGGAAUCUUCCGCAAUGGACGAAAGUCUGACGGAGCAACGCCGCGUGAGUGAAGAAGGUUUUCGGAAUCGUAAAACUCUGUUGUCAGAGAAGAACAAGUUGGAGAGUAACUGCUCCAGCCUUGACGGUAUCUGACCAGAAAGCCACGGCUAACUACGUGCCAGCAGCUGC